CUCUCGGCAACGGAUAUCUCGGCUCUCGCAUCGAUGAAGAACGUAGCGAAAUGCGAUACCUGGUGUGAAUUGCAGAAUCCCGUGAACCAUCGAGUCUUUGAACGCAAGUUGCGCCCGAGGCCAUCCGGCUAAGGGCACGCCUGCCUGGGCGUCAC
rnacentral:rRNA from 17 species